CCUGCGUUUCUUCCGACAGUUUUACACCACCACCACCACCACCACUAUCUGUGUGGGUUGGGGAGAGAAUUUUUUUUUUUUCCUCCUCUUUCCCUAAAGCGAAGCGUGAUGGCAGCGGGACACGCGCGCACACAUUCCCGAGCCGCACACGCACACGCGCUCCGACCCUCCUUUCCCACCCCUUUUCCUUACAUCCCGGCGGCGAGGGUUUCUCUGGGAGGAAUUCACUCUCCGCCACGAAUCGGGAGACGCUGGGCUCCCGAGGAGCGCACCUCGGGCACUUUCCCCAUUUCCCACGCAGUCUACAGGAAUGUCCCUGCUUCUUCCCACAGUCACAGGUGGAGGGGAGCACACCUCACUGGCACGCAGAGCACAAACUGGCAGCACCCCAUCUGCUGAGGAUGCCAGUAAGGUGCCGCCUGGACAUCCACACAGCUCUGGGGUCGUGGUCGUUAUUUACAAAAACAAAAUAAAUGGAAGGAAGAUGGGCAAAAUCUGCUGUUGCUGGGGAGGCUGUUUCAAAAAGAGCUGGCACGUGUUCCCUACCGAAUCCAGUCCAAGGAUUGUUUGUGUCUUUAGAAAGCAAGUGCCAUCGCUGCUUGAUGCAAUGAGCUGAGCUCUGGGAACCAGCACUCGUUAGCACCAGUUUCACUGAAAAAGACAGAAAGAAAGAAGAAGAACAACUAGGAUGAGAGAGAUUUUCCUCCAAAAAAAAAAAAAAAAAAGUACUUUUAAAAGAAGCCCCAUUAUGUAAAAGCACAGCAUUGUCUCAGUGUCUCUAUCCAGAGCUUCAUGCACAACUCAUUUGGCAUGGGAAGGGGAAGAAAGAACCCCUCCUCCAAACAUAGUCCGUGGAACAUAAACAUCCCAUACAUCCCAUAACACAGGAGCCAUAGAGCUCUCCUCUGCUUUCAAAUGCAAGUUUGUAACUUUCAGCCAAUUUCUACUCUUUGCUUUCUCAGAUGAUUUUAAGAUUUAAACCUUGGGAGUAUCUAAAAUAACAAAGGCCUCGAAGCUCUCAACGUGGCAAUGAAAUCUUCAUCUUGAACUCAUGGCAGAGAUGUUCCAGGCCGACUCUUAUGAAUCAUGAAAAUCUUAAUCUGAACAUCAGAAAGGAGAGGCACCUCCUCUGUUACUCUUCUUUAUUCCUUUAUGCUUUUCCCACUUCAUUUUAUUUAAAUAGGGUUACAUUCAUAGUAAUAUAGUCAUGGUGGUGGCUGUUGUUUUCAUUGUUGCUAUUAUUAUUAUUAUUGUUGUUAUUAUUAUUUUAACUCAGGUGGCAGAACUCAAAGAGGAACAUUCAUUGGUUUCUGGAUUCAGCAGCAGCCUCUACAGUUUCAUUAUUCCUGUUGACAACAGAGAAGUGCAGAUGCCUGGCCUGGGAGCGCUCGUGUAUUGCACCCAAAUUACACAUUCUUGUUCAUAAAGAGUAGAGCAAAGUAUAAAUGUGAAACGUCGUUGCUCAUGUCUCAGGCAACUACUCACAUCUUAAUUGAAAACGAUCCAAUAACAGCAUCCUCUCAGACAAAGCAAUUCCGCCUAUCUCUGCACUCACUGAAGGCUGUCGUGCCACAUGGGCAGCAGAUGGCCUUGGCCAUCACCACCCCAGAGCACACAGAAGGAUACCCAGUGCCGCUUUGGGUUUCCUUUCCCCUCAGGCCCCUCGAGAUGGUCCCAGUAGUGAUGGCAGAGACAUGCUCCUGAUGUCAGGGUCACACUUGCCACUUUCCCUAUCCUGCUUUCACUGCAUCCCAUACACCUCUGCUUUUGUUCUGCUUGGGAGCUGCAGGUCAGUGACACAGUGUUGGUUGGUCAUUCCUCAUCCCUCAGCUGCCCCUUCAAAAUGCAGUUCAGGCUGCCCAGAGAGCUGUGCCCAUCUCUGAAGGCAUUCAAGGCCAGGUUGAAUGGGGCCCUCGGCAGCCUGUGCUGGUGGAUGGCAGCCAACCCAUGGCAGAGGUUUGGAACGGGGUGAUUGCUGAGGUCCCAUUCAACCCAACCCAUUCUAUGAGCCUGUGACUGAGCCACCUCACAUUUGGGACCAAAGCUUCAGAGGCAUGAUACUCAAUGGCCACAGAGAUGCAAAGUGUUUGCAGAGCAGCAAAUAAAGUCUUUCCUGAGCCAACUGUUCCACCUGGACCCCACUACAAAUUAUUGUUUUCAAUUACCACCUGUGUACUCCUUCCCAUGCAACUUAUUGAUGUAAAAUUACAACAACACUGGUAUAAAUAAGUUAUGCUGCGGUUGUAAAAUGGAAGAAAUUUUGUUGUAGCAAUUAUGUUCAGCAAGAUGACAAAAUAAAUUUCCAGUGCUGUGCUUGCAGUAACCUGGGGAAUUUAAACCUCAUAAUUUCCAUUCAUUUCAGAUAAUUUGGAGUAAUUUCUAUAUGUAAUAACUUUGUAAUGAAAAACACAGCGGUACUGAAGUGAUUUCAACUCUUUUUUUUUUUUUUCCUCCUAUGGUAUACAUGGCACGAAAUAAAUAAUAAAAAUAAUAUUUCCUUUUUGUAUGUGUUCGGUAAUUCUUUCAGCAAAAUCAUAAACUAAUACCAGG
ensembl:lncRNA